GCGGAUGGAGCUGAAGCCAGUCGAAGAUACCAGCUGGCUGCAACUGUUUAAUAAAAACACAGCACUGUGCAAACACGAAAGUGGACGUAUACGGUGUGACGCCUGCCCGGUGCUGGAAGGUUAAUUGAUGGGGUCAGCCGCAAGGCGAAGCUCUUGAUCGAAGCCCCAGUAAACGGCGGCCGUAACUAUAACGGUCCUAAGGUAGCGAAAUUCCUUGUCGGGUAAGUUCCGACCUGCACGAAUGGCGUAAUGAUGGCCAGGCUGUCUCCACCCGAGACUCAGUGAAAUUGAACUCGCUGUGAAGAUGCAGUGUACCCGCGGCAAGACGGAAAGACCCCGUGAACCUUUACUAUAGCUUGACACUGAACAUUGAGCCUUGAUGUGUAGGAUAGGUGGGAGGCUUUGAAGCGUGGACGCCAGUCUGCGUGGAGCCAUCCUUGAAAUACCACCCUUUAAUGUUUGAUGUUCUAACUCGGCCCCAUAAUCUGGGGUGAGGACAGUGUCUGGUGGGUAGUUUGACUGGGGCGGUCUCCUCCCAAAGAGUAACGGAGGAGCACGAAGGUUAGCUAAUCACGGUCGGACAUCGUGAGGUUAGUGCAAAGGCAUAAGCUAGCUUGACUGCGAGAGUGACGGCUCGAGCAGGUACGAAAGUAGGUCUUAGUGAUCCGGUGGUUCUGAAUGGAAGGGCCAUCGCUCAACGGAUAAAAGGUACUCCGGGGAUAACAGGCUGAUACCGCCCAAGAGUUCAUAUCGACGGCGGUGUUUGGCACCUCGAUGUCGGCUCAUCACAUCCUGGGGCUGAAGUAGGUCCCAAGGGUAUGGCUGUUCGCCAUUUAAAGUGGUACGCGAGCUGGGUUUAGAACGUCGUGAGACAGUUCGGUCCCUAUCUGCCGUGGGCG
rnacentral:rRNA from 1 species